rnacentral:sRNA from 1 species
CUGCAAAAGGGACCAGAGUAUAAUGCCAGUGAAAAGAAACAAAGGAUUUCCCAGAAGAGGCGGUAGUUUUUUUCAGUUGCCUCAGCGUUUUGGUCACCUUUGGGGUUAAAGUCUUCUGCAGAGAAUGCUUCAAGAAGCCUUAACAGAAGCCAGUUUUCUCAAGCUGUCUGUUGAGAGUCAUUUUCUUUUUCUUUUUUUCUUUUUUGAGACGGAGUCUGGCUCUGUCGCCCAGGCUGGAGUGCAGUGGUGCGAUCUCGGCUCACUGCAACCUCCGCCUCCUGGGUUCAAGCUAUUCUCUUGCCUCAGCCUCCCGAGUAUCUGGGAUUACAGGCUCCCGCCACCACGCCCAGCUAUUUUUUGUAUUUUUAGUAGAGACGGGGUUUCACCAUAUUGGCCAGGCUGGUCUGGAACUCCUGACCUCAGGUGAUCCACCCACCUCUGCCUCCCAAAGUGUGGGGAUCACAGGCGUGAGCCACCGCGCCCAGCAGACGAGAAUCAUUUUCAUUUUCAUAAAAUUGUGAAUCUUGACAGCCCUAUCCCCUCUUUUAAAAUCCGUUUGUUUACAUACAGCCUAGCAUUUGGCAAAAGUACACAUCUUAAGGGGUAUGUAGAAGGAGCGGUAGCUUCUUGCUUAUUUUUCUUAAACUGCAUCAAUAUUUGGCAGCAUGAUUGGUACCUAGUUGCUAUUAAACAUUGGUUAGAAUUAACAUAAAUGCUAAUACAAAUUUAAAAUGGAGUUAUUCUUCUUGGGAUAAAGUGUGGCAUAAAAUACCUUGGAUGAAGUAAUACGUGAGUACUGUCUCGCUACAUACCAGUUUCAAGCAAUUUGUUUUGAAGAAUAGCAAGUGUUUAUUUGUGGUAGAUGUUUUAAGAUAAUAUCCUCCCACCAUCAGCAAAUGAAAUCAAACAUACCACUUUUCAAAUGAUUAGCGAGUAACAUGCUGUUAAAGUUGUCUCCCAUCUCAUUUGUCAUAAAUUCUUAACAUUGUGCAAUCCAUCUAGCUCAAAUGUUUAAAAAUAAGUCCAACUGAGUUUUUCCCCUUUUCUCGUGUUUAGCAAAAUAGAAAAACUCUUAAUUUUCAGGUUCAGAUACUUUGUGACCCUAUUUGGUGGCUUGUAACUGGCUCCAAUUCCCUAAUUCUCAGUGACAUGUGUUUCUGCUGGUUCCAGGAGGUAAACUGCAGUUUUAACAGAUCAUGGGAUAAUGAGACUGGGAGUACCUGGGGGAGGCUGGGGAGAGGCAAUGGGAAGGAGACAAAGAGAGGGAAGGUUGAUGGGCAGAGCGAGGAUUUAUAGUGGCACCAGAUUUGCAAUAAAAUCUGUGUAAAGUUAUUGCUUCCGUUUGAUAUAUUUUCCCACAUCAUCAACUUCAAUUAAAUUUAUUUUAAAAAUCAGUCUUCCAGAUAUAGGGCUAGUAUUAUAAACAUAGAAUAUGAUAAAAGUGCUUCUUGUUAGGGUGCCAUAAUGUAAAAUACUGUGAAAAUUCUUAACGAAAUGUUUUUUACUUAAUUUAUUCACUUAGUCAACAAAUGUUUAUUGAGAACGUAUUAUAUAUAAGGCAAGAUGAAUAAAUCCAGAUUUCUGUUCUGAAUGAA